rnacentral:rRNA from 1 species
CUACGGGGGGCUCCAGUGAGGAAUAUUACACAAUGGGGGGAACCCUGAUGCAGCAACGCCGCGUGGAGGAUGACGCAUUUCGGUGUGUAAACUCCUUUUAUAUGUCAAGAAAAUGACGGUAGCAUAUGAAUAAGCACCGGCUAACUCCGUGCCAGCAGCCGCGGUAAUACGGAGGGUGCAAGCGUUACUCGGAAUCACUGGGCAUAAAGGACGCGUAGGCGGGUUGGAAAGUCAGGUGUGAAAUCCUACAGCUUAACUGUAGAACUGCACUUGAAACUUCUAAUCUAGAGUAUGGGAGGGGGAGAUGGAAUUAGUGGUGUAGGGGUAAAAUCCGUAGAUAUCACUAGGAAUACCUAAAGCGAAGGCGAUCUCCUGGAACAUUACUGACGCUAAGGCGUGAAAGCGUGGGGAGCAAACAGGAUUAGAUACCCGCGUAGUC